rnacentral:rRNA from 1 species
AGAGUUUGAUCCUGGCUCAGGAUGAACGCUAGCGGGAGGCCUAACACAUGCAAGCCGAGCGGUAUUGUUUCUUCGGAAAUGAGAGAGCGGCGUACGGGUGCGGAACACGUGUGCAACCUGCCUUUAUCUGGGGGAUAGCCUUUCGAAAGGAAGAUUAAUACUCCAUAACAUAUUGAACGGCAUCGUUUAAUAUUGAAAGCUCCGGCGGAUAGAGAUGGGCACGCGCAAGAUUAGCUAGUUGGUGAGGUAACGGCUCACCAAGGCGAUGAUCUUUAGGGGGCCUGAGAGGGUGAUCCCCCACACUGGUACUGAGACACGGACCAGACUCCUACGGGAGGCAGCAGUGAGGAAUAUUGGUCAAUGGGUGCAAGCCUGAACCAGCCAUCCCGCGUGAAGGACGACUGCCCUAUGGGUUGUAAACUUCUUUUGUAUAGGGAUAAACCUACCCUCGUGAGGGUAGCUGAAGGUACUAUACGAAUAAGC